rnacentral:ncRNA from 2 species
ACGCCUUAAGGUGAUGGCGUUCCACCUUUGCCAACCGCCUGCUGGCGAUCCCAGCGGCUGAUGACGCCUGACAUUAA